AUUUCGAACCGGCCGGAAUCGGUCCUGAACGCAUAGGAACCGGUCUCGAACCGGUAGGAACCAGUCACAGCGGGCUGGAACCGGUUGCAAACUGUCUGGACUUAGUUUGAACCGGCCGGUUCCAUGCUGAACUGGUGUGAACCGUCCGGUUCACACCGAGUCGGACCAGUUCCGAACCGCCCUCCACCCCCUCUCUUUUGUUUUAAAGACUGGUCGGGAGUGCCUGAGAAGUUUUUCAAGCCUUCCCAACCUAUCCGAAUAUGUUUUCUUCCUCAUAGUGAAAAAUAUGCUGAUUUAGCACGAUUGAAGGAGAAUUCAAUCCUAAAUAAGGUAUGCUUCCUCUCUCCAUCUCAUUUCUUUGUUUUCGACGUUAAAAAAUAUCUUGAAAUUUGCAAAAUAAGGAGAGAUUAUACUAAUUUUUUUUGAUUUUGGCUUUAUUUUAUGAUGUGUUGUAGAUCUAUGGAUGAUUUACAUGAUGACAUAAAAAUUUUUAAAAUAUUUUUUUAGAUUAAAAAUAGUACUAAAAAAAUUUAAAAAUAUAAAAUUAAAAGCAUAUUUAGGAGCAUGUAAGCUACUCUCUAGCUAAAUUUGGUAUCCAUUUAUUUAAGUUUUGAUGCAGUCAUGCACAUAUUGGCUUAGGCCUAAAUUUGAAAAAAUUAAGAAAUAAGUAGCCUUUGAUGCAUGCCUAUGAGCUUAGAAAUAUAUGUGUAGCAUCCAUAAUCAGGUUCUACAUGGAUCUAAGCUCAAAUUAAUUUUUUAAAAUAUUUAUAUUUAAAAAUUAUUUUUUAAUUUAAAAAAUAAUUAAAAAUAUAUAAUUAAUUCUAAAAAUUAUGAAAAAUUAGCAGUACGUAAUACAUUUCAGAAGUACUUUCAGAAGUAAAACAUAUUUCUUUUGAAUUUAUGGUAUUUAAAUAUACAUUUUAAUUAAAAAUUAUUAAAAAUAUAUAAAUGACAGUUCUGGUGGCCAUGGAUCUGCUGGUCUGAGAGCGAGUAGAAGACAUGAGACUAUCGUUUAUGAGACAGCCGCAAUUGCAGAGUGGUCUUCGAUUUACCGGUGAGUCGUAGUUUACACAUGUUACACAGGAUAGCGAUCAUAGUACACGAUUUGGUAGAUUCUACAAGGAUAUGACUGCAUGUAGGAGACGGGUUCCUCGAAGUCAUUUAGGAGGAUACGAUGCAGCUAUAGAUAACCUUGCAUGUGGAGCAGGAUGCAUAGAUGUAUCAGGUUUUGAGUCGUAUAUUGGAUUCUAUUACCUACAAUCGCAGGCAGCCUAUGAUCCAUGCAAAUAGGGAUAUGGAUAUGGUGCGUUUGAGAGGCAUCGUCUUCCAGUGUUAGCCAUGGAAUUUCAUCCACAUUUGAUGAUGAUGAUCAGCCAAAGGGGGAAAAGAAAUUGGUUUAGGGAUCUGAAGUCAUGAUUAAGAGGAACCAGCCAAUGAUUGGGAGGACUCCGACUUAUCCUUCAACGGAUCCAGGUUUCUGACUUCUCUUCCAACAGAUCUCUCUCUCUUUAUGCUAAUUCUUCUUCUCCUCUUUCUCCUUGUCCUCCUUUUUCUUCCUCCCCCUCCUCUCUCUCCUUGCUGUUGGAGUUGUUGCUAUUGCUGCCCUGCUGCUAGUGCUGCUAUUCCUUCUCCUUCCCCUUCCUACUGCUGGAGUUGCUGCCACUGCCGCCCUACUGCCGGUCUUCCUCCUCUUCUUGUUCUUCCUUCUCCUCCCUUACCCUGCUGCUGGAGCUUCUUCUACUACUGCCAGUGCUGCUGUUCCUCCUCCUCCUCCUUCUCCUUCUCCUUCUCCUUUUUAUUCUUCGUCCCUUUCCUGCAGCCAGAG
rnacentral:lncRNA from 1 species